CAAAAUAAACGCACUUUUACGUCUGUCCAUUAAAUUAAACUCAUUGGCAAAGCAGACGGGGUUCUCAUGUUGUCUUUUCCCACUUUUCUAAAUAUUCCAAAUAAGCUGCAGUCUCUUUGAAGCCUUUUUAAUAGAUUUUAUUUCUGCGCAGAAGCAUUUCAUGGUGAAGAUCUAAACCGGAAACGAGGCUAACCAAUGACGGGAGUUGGUAUUUUAGAACAGUAAUGUCAGACUAUGUGCCAAACCGGGACAGCCCGGCUCCCUAUCAGCUGGAUAAAUCACCGACAGGACGGAUGUUGAUCAGGAUCCACCUGUGAACCGGGUCGAGCAGCGGGGGCCCUCAAGCAGCUGAUGAGGCGGCAGAUUGGCCGCAGGCGGCACUCUCGAUGGUCUCCCCCACUAUGAAGGCGGUGGUGGAUGCCGUGUGGGCGGUGUGGAGCAUCGGCACCUCCAUCUAUGACUAUAUCCACACCAACGCCAUGGAGGAACGCAUCCACGCCCUGGAGAACGUCAUCACCAUUCACCAGUGUGUGAUCGGGCUGCUGAGUGCCGGCAUGCUGGCGCUCUUCACCUACAUCCUCUUCAAGAAGCUCUGACUGACUGGAAAGGGAAUCAAUGUGGGGUAUGAUGAAGCAAAGUAGGAAGGGUUUAAGGAGGAUGGGUGGUAAAAACCAACAUGGACGUCUGAACACUGUUUACAUGUUCAAAGCAAGAGGACCCUAAAUAAUGCCAUCCACACAGGAGG